rnacentral:rRNA from 1 species
AACGUAGACCUCAUGCGUUAUCCGGAUUUAUUGGGCGUAAAGAGCAUGUAGGAGGUUUUGUGCGUCUUCUGUUAAAGCCCGGGGCCUAACCCCGGAAGUGCAGGAGAUACGACAGAACUAGAGGAGGUUAGAGGUGCAUGGAACUCACGGUGUAGGGGUGAAAUCCGUAGAUAUCGGGGGGAACACCAAAGGCGAAGGCAGUGCACUGGGACCUUACUGACGCUGAGAUGCGAAAGCGUGGGGAGCAAAAAGG